ensembl:lncRNA
CACUCAUUCACCAGUCACAGCUGACAGACAGCAUCUGCUUCUUUCACCUUUAUCUUUGAGACACUGAACCAACAGAGUAACAACAUGUGCAGGCUGAUUCUGACUGCAGGUCUCUGUUUGAUCAUCGCCAGCCUGGUUUCUUGUGACCAGGAAAACAAACCUGGUUACCAAUCUGGUGCAUCUGGUUACCAAUCUGGUGCAUCCAGUGGAAAUUUCUGUAAUGGAAAGGGCAAUGGGCUUUACGCCUACCCACCUGACCCACAGCGUUUCUACCAGUGUUCCAAUGGGAACACCUUCAUCCUGACCUGCCCAGCAUCUCUGGUCUUCAGCGCAAUCUCCGGAGUCUGUGACUGGCCCAGUGCCACGGGAACUUUCUGCAUUGGAAAGGUGGAUGGGAAUUACGUCAACACAAAUAACCCCAAUAGUUUUUACAUGUGUAGCAACGGCAGGACCGUCGUCCAAGACUGCCAAAAAGGUUUGAUCUACAAAUCGAGCUGCAACUGCUGUAACUAUCCCUAAAGUGUUGCACAUGACCAUUUUCCAAGCCCUCAUAGGCCUUUCCUACUUCUCAUGAUUCUUUAUGGUUAUGUUACAAAAAAAAAAACUUAGCAAUGGCUCUGCUUCAAGAUUUGUCAAAUCAAUUUGAAAACCCAAUUUUCCCCGACUAUCUGAAUGAUGGAAACGUACUGAACAUGUCUUCGUUCUGUUCUCAGCCAUGAUUCGACCUGCCUUGUCUUACUUAUUAAUAGGAUUGCUGCAUAAACGUUGUCAUUGGUAGUGAUCCUAUUAUAUGGUUUUGAUCUGUUCUCUAGUUGCUUCAUACGUAGCCCUUGCAUCGCUGUAUUUCCUCCACAUUAUGAUGCACGUAUUGUAUGUUGCACUAAGUGCUUAUAUAUUUUAAAUCUAACCUCAAUCUCUACUGAUUUGUAUACAUG